GGCCUGGGUGCGUGCCGCCUCCCUCCCCGCAGAAAGGAGGAAAGAGCUGAAGUGUGCUUCUCCAUGCAGACUUAGCGUUGCCUUCUUGUAGCUACCAAUAGACAGAUGUUGCCCUAAGGAAAGGCGUUUAAAGUCCUCUUCCCAAGAGCUAGCCCAGGAUGCUCUGAUCCAAGAAUGGGAUUAUUAAACUCACCUCUUGCCCCACUGGAGCAAAACAAACUAGGGGAAACUUAAAAAAAACAAAAAGAUAGAAAAUAAUUAAACUACCAAAAUAAACAAAUAACCAAAGCAACUACCAGCAACCUCCGCCUCCUCCCCCUCUUCAAUACCGUGUAACAGAAUACAGUAUCAGGCUAGCGAAUUAUACUCAAAGCGAGCGGAUUUGCUUCUCUCAGUCGGGGAAAUGAAUGCAAAGUCCAUUUCAAAGAAUUAUCUCUAGGGAGUCCUCCAAGUGUAUUUGGGGUUAUCCGUGAUUUGAGAGGAAAGACUAAACGAGAGGGGGUCUGAGAAAAGCCUGCCAUUGUCACCCUACCCUAAGAUCACUGGAGGCAAACAUCGAAUUAAUUGGAUCUCAAUGACUGAGGUUGGUAACUUUGUAUUGAACUAAGGUUAUCUCUGUCAUAGUGUUCAGGUGUUUACAAGACAUUUUAGGAGUUUCUAGAAAAGGUAAAUCCAGACAAUACAUACGAUAAAAUUAAAAUGGCAUUACAAUACUCUAUAUUCCAAAUCCAAGUUAUACCACCCCAAUAAUAACCUAUCUAGAAAUUAUAAAUUCCGUGGGGGAGGGGAGGGGAGUGGAGGGGUGGAAAUUGAGGGUUUUUUGGGUUUUGUUGGGGUUUUUUGUUUUGUUUUGUUUUUUAAGCCUGAUAUUGGAAUAGCCAUUUCUGUUUCCUGUACAACUAGAGGGCCUUCCUUGCACUAUUUUAUAAAUGCAAAUACCACUCUUCUAAGCCCAGUAAUUAUUUUUUCAAGGUUAGUAAUGACGCAUAUUCCUAAUGUUUAUUGUUGCUAAAGACUUUCAGACCGACUGCAGGUCUGGCACUUUCUAUGAAGAGUCACUUUCAGAUGUGUCCUCCCUUUCUUUGAAAGUACCGGCUUGAGCUAAGUGAGGUGAGGCAAGGCAACCCCACCUGGAAAACAAUGCUUUUUAAAGUUUCUCUGCUCUUCCGAUUAAUACUCGAUUUUUGAAAAAUAAUACGACAUUGGAGAGUGAAGGAUAUUACUAGAUGUAUUACUAAGCUGCAGACAUAGUGGUGACCCAAUACAGUGGCAUGAAUGUGAAAUUUACUUUUCAUACUUGUGGAAGUCGAAUCUGGCCAUUCAUGAACUAGAUAAGAGUGUCCAUAUGGCUUUGGUCUCAAACUAAUUUCCAGAGCUCAUAGUAUUUCGAGUUAAAAGAUAAUUUUUGGGUUUGGUUUGGGGUUGCGUGUUUCGGUUUGGGUUUUGUUUUGGUUUUAUAUUUUUUGGUGGGCGUUUUUUGGGUUUUUUUUGGGUUUGUUUGGUUUUUUUAAAUUUUUUUGUUUAGUUUUGGUUCGUUUUUUUUCCUCACAAAGAGUUUUAUGUUGUGCUUUAGAAACGAUGUAGGCAUUGAGAACAGAUAUCAGCGAAUUUCGUGUUCCCCAGCGUGGCAGCGUCUUUGUAUUCCUUCCUCUGAAAUCGGCGAUAGAAAGCAAAGAGAGAAAGAAGUACAGAGAGGGAGAGAGGGGAAGAAGGGGAAAAAAGACAAUUCAGCUCCGCUGGAUUAUGUAGCGAAUCUAUAACUAAUGAACCAUACAAUCACAUAAGAGUGUUUAACAAGCAUCUGACGAAUGUUCUGGGCAUUUUAAAAAAUGGCUUUGUUCAGACUAUAUCACUUGAAACAGAUCAUUGCCCGGACCGGUGUGAAGGCUGGAGACUCAAAACCAAAAUGUUCCCACCGUUUUCCUUAACUCCCUACGUGAGAAGAAAAGGGACAUAGGCUCAGUCCCACGGAGGAAAGAGAGAGGAGAAGGAAAGACAAAGCACAAGGACAUAUGGCUCCGGAGCACAAGAUAGAAGUCUGCACCCUGAGAACUAGGGAACAUUUCUCACCCCCCUGAAAGACUAAUGCCCUCCUCCUGCAAAUCAAUUUCCUUUGCAACAAAACCGUGCAUUAAAUGGGCAUGGUGGAUAGUAAGGACCUAUCAGUUUCCUGCUGUAGUUCUGCUAAUAAAUAAAAUUCUAAAUGUUCAAAACACUCUAUCUGUCACAUUCACAAGAUAGGUACUGUAAAUUCCUGUUGAAAAUAUACAAACAGAGAUCCAAGAGGUUGCCUCUGUUUUUGUAUCUCUCUCUCACAAGAAAUGCACUAUCAAAACAUUAAUUAUAUUUGAAAGGGAACAGAUUAUUUGUUUGAGAAAGAAUUACAUUCUUGAAUUUAUAUUCCACGCAGACCUCUCCUCCUGUCUGCUGAGAGGGUUGAACUGUAAAUCUGUCUCAAAUUAUUUACCCCUAAAAUGUAAGUAGGUGUGUCACAUUAGACUAGUAGAGAGAUGGGAGAUAAUCUGUAGGUGCUUUUAGACACCUCUGUGGGAUGGGUCGUUAGGGAAUGUCGAAAUGAACACGAAAUUGCAAAUCUAACAUGUGAAGAACAUACACACUUAUUCUUUGACAAUGAAAAUACAAACGCACAUAGAAAUGCAGAGUUGAACCUAGUUAGUUAUUAAACACGAUGACUCACGGGAGUUUGGGCCCCACAGUUCCUUUUAGUUGGUUUUGCUUUAAGAUUUUUUGUUUUGUUUUGGUUUGGUUUUGUUUUGUUUGGGGUUUUUUUGUUUGUUUUGGGGUUUUUUUUAUGCUUUCACGCACAUCUUGUGGUAGCUGGUACUUGAAAAGCUACUAACCGUGUGGUGAGUCAUCACUUAAGUCAUGAGAAAUUUCUUAAAGAUUGUAUCCUAUUUCAUGCUUUUAAAAACACUAAUAAAAGGGUUAAAUAGGUGCCCUCAUACUUUUACCUUUCUUCUGGGGAAAAUAGUGAUUAAGCGGGACUUUAUUAGGAGCUCUUGAAAAAUUCUCCUCGAUGUCUGCUUCUUCCACUCUCCGCUAACCAGACCUUCAGCAUUUCCUAGCCUACCUUCAGAAGCCAUUAGCUAUCUCAACAGCAUCGUUCUCCAGCACUGCGUUUUGGCAGGAACUGAUGUGAACAGUCCGGUCAGAAACUUUUUUGGUGCUGUCGUGUCAUGCUUGGGGAAAUUUCGUGACUGAAUCAGUGCCCUAAGCUUGGGACCCGGGGAAUCUGCUUAAGCACCAGGUCCUGCAGAGCUGAGCCCUGUUCUCUAUUCCUGUAUUUCUUGAGCCCUGGGUAACCGAAGCCAUGGGGCCUGAAGGGCGGUUGCAGGGAGCACGGGAAGGUGGGGGUGGGCGGACUUUUCUGCCUUGGACGUGCCUGGGAUGUGCUCUCUCCCUGAUUAGGUAUCUGUGGAGGAAGAAGGUGACGUGACGAGAAAAGCCUGACAGCCAAAGUGGGAACUGUCCGGGAGAAGGAUCCGUGAUGAAUGAGGUCUGCGAAGUCAUGAAGCACAAGCAGCCCAGGACAGUGUGCUGUCAUCAAGUGCCGGUUUUUGUUCGCUAGAACCAUGAAGAAAAAUGGGGGAGACAGGGGGGCUGAAGGUGAGGUGGGGAGGGAGAUCCCGCGGAAGGGGUCAGUGAGGAUUUGGAGAGAGAGAUUGAAGAAAUUAGUGGCUGUAAUAUUAGCAUGAGUUCAUCGUCUCCUCUGGAGAAGGAGAAACUGCGUUUGUCAAAUGGGCUAGAGCCCUGACGGGAGGCAAAGGAGCCAUCGGAGCGCUCCGAGAUGCGGCUGUGAAAUGUGGAUCCCGACCCAUUCGAGGGACGGUACUUUAUAAAAUAGUCUGUCCCAAAAUCUUGCAGGCAGGUGUCCGAGGUUAAGUCAGGCUCUUCGAUAAUCGCCGACUCCUCGUAGGGAAUAAGUUCUGCCCCGGGGUAGUGGAUGGGAUGGGAAAGGCGGUUGCGAAGUCGGAGAGACAUUACUACAUAAACUAAAAGCCUACUAGAAUUGCAAGCAUUAUUUCAUUCCUGGAGUAAUUUCGUGCAGAACUGAAGCUUCUUCCUCGGGUUAGGCGGAAAGGGCUGUCGUGGACAAGCCUGUAACUUCUUGAAUUGUUUUUGACCGUGCACUGUAUUGCCACAAUGCCAAUAAACGCUUUAAACGCGUCCUACUAGCGGCCCUCCGACGCCCCAGCUCCCCAGGCCCGGUCUAAAGGAGAUCUGGCCCGGUCCGGGACUGCUGGGUCACUCCCUACCUUCGGGUGCUCUGGGAAAAUGUGACUGGGUGGGCCGGGGUCUGCUAUACUGACCUCUGGGUUUUCUUUCCUCGGAGGGGCCAGUCUUGGCUUGCAAGGGGUCGCAGAGGCAAAGGCUCGCUUCGUGUCAGCGGGUUCAGGAUUUCAGGACUUUGAGUUUAGCGGCUGGAGACAGCCCUGCCUGAUUUGCGCCGGACUUAGUGACUGCCUAGGAGGAGACAUAACUCUCCCAGGCACGGAUUCCCUGGUGGUAGCAUGGCCCAUAUCGCUCACCCUUCCAGUGAAUGCCAGCAGAUGGACGCAAUUAAACCUCGGCGGUGCUCCCUGGCUGGACACCGAUCAGGGUGUGAGAGGGCUGGCCAUUAUGCAGCGCCUAUGGGCUGGUGUUCACCGCCGACAGCUGUAACAGGGAGGAGGAACGAAUCAUGGGUGCUGCCAAUUUUUCCCGUCUCACCGCAGCGACGGGAGCACGCCAGGGCCCCAAAGGCUCAUGAGAGAAAGAGCCA